CCUACGGGAGGCAGCAGUAGGGAAUCUUUCACAAUGGGCGAAAGCCUGAUGGAGCAACGCCGCGUGCAGGAUGAAGGCCUUCGGGUUGUAAACUGCUUUUAUAAGCGAGAAAUAUGAUGGUAACUUAUGAAUAAGGAUCGGCUAACUACGUGCCAGCAGCCGCGGUCAUACGUAGGAUCCGAGCAUUAUCCGGAGUGACUGGGUGUAAAGAGUUGCGUAGGUGGCAUAAUAAGUAGCUAGUGAAAUCUGGUGGCUCAACCAUUCAGACUAUUAGCUAAACUGUUAAGCUCGAGACCGUUAGGGGUAACUGGAAUUUCUAGUGUAGGAGUGAAAUCCGUAGAUAUUAGAAGGAACACCAAUAGCGUAGGCAGGUUGCUGGGACGGUUCUGACACUAAGGCAUGAAAGCGUAGGGAGCAAACGGGAUUAGAUACCCGAGUAGUC
rnacentral:rRNA from 1 species